rnacentral:lncRNA from 1 species
GUUUUGACUUGAAACAAUAUUGAAGCACAAAGUAGAAAACAUAGGUUUUGUAUCUACAAGGAAUCCAAGUAAUUCUGGAUACCUUAGGGGAAAAUUUUAGUCAAAGCAUUAAAGGAAAAGAGUCAAGUUGAUUGUUGAGCGUUCUUCUAAUAAAACAUUGCUUCAUGUGUUUUCAUCACAUAGAUGGGGCUCUGGCAAUUGAAUUUAUAUAUGAACACAAAAUGUGACAUGCACACCAAAGACAAUUAUAAAACUUAUAAGCAUGUAGGACAGACACAAUUGCUUUUAACUGUCUAUAAAAAGUAAAGGUGUGUCCCUUUCUAGAAAAGGUUUGUAGCUCACGAUGUCAUUCAAAUAGUUCCUCCCCUGGCAAGCUAACAAAAACUAUGUUUUCAGCUGAAUGAGCUAGAAUUCCUUGUUCACUCACUGGUAGCCAUGUGGAUGCUACAAGUAACAUCUACAUUGCCUCCAAUUCACUUUGUCAAAGGAGAAGGAGGCCUGUCUUUAUCUGGAAAGAUACCAUAUCAUCCUAAAUACUUUCUAAAAAUGCACUGGUUUGCCCAUCCCUGAAUGAAGAUGUAUCCACUCAAAAAUAUCCAUUGCUACUUCCUUUAGUCAGCCUCCAGGUUGGAAGCUGAGUGGCUCUAUUUUUUAAAAAAAAAUCAAUCCAAAAUAAAUAAAAGAAUGUAAAAUGUUAAUCAGAAGUAAACAAAGGGAUAGAAUAAAGGAGCCAGGCACUACUAGUAACUUUUAUUGCUUUUGUUGGGAGCCUAGUGAGGGAAUUUUAGAUGAAAUUCCCCCUUCAGCCUCCAGGAAAUAGUGACUUUGUUCAAGUAAAGCAGUUUCCCUUCCCUGUGGCCCUGUGUGGUCCACUGUGAUUCAGACCUGGCCUGUUUUCAGCCUGCUAGAAGAGUGUCAGAAUAGGUGUGACC